GAAGAGGCCUUCUUCAAUAGCAAGUAUUACCAUUCAUUGCAUGUUAUGUUGGUUUGUGAUGGAGAUAUGUGCAUUACAUUUGUGAUGCAUCCAAUGGGAGUGUUAGUGCUAGACUGCUAGCCAAGAUAACCAUAUUUGGAACAACAGCACUUUGAGAAGGGAAAAGGAACAUCUCCUUAAUUUAAAUAUGUUUAAGUUCAUUAAGUGGACUUGUGUGGUCCUUGAAAUGUAAAUUACAAAGUCAGUGUGGUGUAAUCAAAAGUGGCAGAUUUGUUAUUCAAUAAUACAACAUCUAAACAAACCUUUCUUUAUUGGCAUCAAAUAAACUAUUUUCAUUACGCAGAUUUA